AUUUAAAUAGCUUAAAAUAGAGCGUAAUAUUGAAGAUAUUAAAGUAAUAGGAUUAUUUUUAAAUA
rnacentral:tRNA from 1 species